AUGGAUGUUUUGGCUAGUUCGGAUGGUGAGUUUCACGUUGAACUCCAUAUUCGCAACAAGGCCGACAACUUCACAUGGACCCUCGUCGCCUUGUAUGGGGCAGCCCAGGAUGAGUUCAAGGCCGAUUUUCUUCAUGAAUUGGUUAAUCUGGCGAAAGAUAAUCCAUAUCCCAUUCUUAUAGGUGGGGAUUUCAAUUUGCUUCGAUUUCCAAAUGAGAAAAGUUGUGGUAGGUUUGAUAAUCAUUGGCCUUUCCUUUUCAACACUGUCAUUGACAGUCUAGAUCUGCGAGAGGUGUCCAUGAUUGGAAGACAAUUCACUUGGGAGAACAGUCUUCAGGAACCGACAUAUGAGAAACUAGAUCGCAUUUUAAUGGAUACUGACUGGGAAUCUAAAUUUCCUAUGGUGUUUGUUUGUGCUCUACCUCGUAUCGAGGCUAUAUCAAACCACGCACCCAUUCUCCUAACUACUGGAUUGCCACGACCACAAGACGCAAGUUCAAAUUCGAACUUGGGUGGUUGCUUCGGGAUGGCUUCCAUGAUAUGGUCAAGGAGGUGUGGGAAAAACUGGUGGCCAGGCCUACCCCAAUACAUAGAUGGAAUAACAAAAUACGUGCAUUACGUAAAUUCCUUGGUGGUUGGGCUAGGCAUAUGGUAG
rnacentral:rRNA from 1 species